rnacentral:lncRNA from 1 species
UGCCUGUCUGUGUAGCAAUUGAUCACAUAGAAAAUAGAAGCCUCAACUCACUACUCCACUAUUAUUUUUCAAUUUGAAGUCACAUAAUAUAAGACAAUCUCCAAGAUAUUCUUUUUAAUGAUAAAUUAAAUGUAUAUAUUAAAAGAAGAUAGAGUAAGGUGUCCAAUCUCCGUUCUUUUGCCACUAUGAUAAUUCUUACAUACACAAGUGAAGGAUUAAUUCAGAGAUCCG